rnacentral:pre_miRNA from 1 species
GGAAUAUAAGAAACCGUCUCUUAACUUUUAACUAAAAAACUAAGAACCGGUUCUUAAAUAUCUUAUUUAAGAACCAGUUCUUAGUUUUUUUAGUUAAAAGUUAAGAGACAAUUUCUUAUAUUCC